rnacentral:siRNA from 1 species
GACUUUGGUUCCGGUUUCCC